UGGGGAAUCUUGCGCAAUGCGCGAAAGCGUGACGCAGCAACGCCGCGUGGGGGAAGAAGGCCUUCGGGUUGUAAACCCCUUUCAGUUGGGACGAAGCUCCGUCGGUGAAUAGCCGGCCGGAGUGACGGUACCUUCAGAAGAAGCCCCGGCUAACUACGUGCCAGCAGCCGCGGUAAUACGUAGGGGGCAAGCGUUGUCCGGAAUCAUUGGGCGUAAAGAGCGUGUAGGCGGCUCGGUAAGUCCGCUGUGAAAGUCCAGGGCUCAACCCUGGAAUGCCGGUGGAAACUGUCGAGCUAGAGUCCGGAAGAGGCGAGUGGAAUUCCUGGUGUAGCGGUGAAAUGCGCAGAUAUCAGGAGGAACACCAAUGGCGAAGGCAGCUCGCUUGGGACGGUACUGACGCUGAGACGCGAAAGCGUGGGGAGCAAACA
rnacentral:rRNA from 1 species